UGGGGAAUAUUGGGCAAUGGGCGCAAGCCUGACCCAGCAAUGCCGCGUGGGUGAAGAAGGCCCUCGGGUCGUAAAGCCCUUUCGGCGGGGACGAUGGUGACGGUACCCGCAGAAGAAGCCCCGGCUAACUUCGUGCCAGCAGCCGCGGUAAUACGAAGGGGGCUAGCGUUGCUCGGAAUCACUGGGCGUAAAGGGCGCGUAGGCGGCCCGGCUGGUCUGGCGUGAAAUCCCGGGGCUCAACCCCGGGGCUGCGCCGGAUACGGCCGGGCUGGAGGCAAGGAGAGGCUCGCGGAAUUCCCAGUGUAGAGGUGAAAUUCGUAGAUAUUGGGAAGAACACCGGUGGCGAAGGCGGCGAGCUGGCCUUGUUCUGACGCUGAGGCGCGACAGCGUGGGGAGCAAACAG
rnacentral:rRNA from 1 species